rnacentral:rRNA from 1 species
CGACGCCGCGUGAGCGAAGAAGGCCUUCGGGUCGUAAAGCUCUGUUGUAGGGACGAAGGGGCGCCGUUCGAAGAGGGCGGCGCGGUGACGGUACCUCACGAGGAAGCCCCGGCUAACUACGUGCCAGCAGCCGCGGUAAUACGUAGGGGGCGAGCGUUGUCCGGAAUUAUUGGGCGUAAAGCGCGCGCAGGCGGUCCCUUAAGUCUGAUGUGAAAGCCCACGGCUCAACCGUGGAGGGUCAUUGGAAACUGGGGGACUUGAGUGCAGGAGAGGAGAGCGGAAUUCCACGUGUAGCGGUGAAAUGCGUAGAGAUGUGGAGGAACACCAGUGGCGAAGGCGGCUCUCUGGCCUGCAACUGACGCUGAGGCGCGAAAGCGUGGGGAGCAAACAGGGAUUAGAUACCCUGGUAGUCCACGCCGUAAACGAUGAGUGCUAAGUGUUAGAGGGGUCACACCCUUUAGUGCUGCAGCUAACGCGAUAAGCACUCC